AUUGAACGCUGGCGGCAGGCCUAACACAUGCAAGUCGAACGAGUGGCGGACGGGUGAGUAAUGUCUGGGAAACUGCCUGAUGGAGGGGGAUAACGCCUGGAAACGGUAGCUAAUACCGCAUACCAUCGGAUGUGCCCAGAUGGGAUUAGCUAGUAGGUGGGGGAAAGGCUCACCGAGGCGACGAUCCCUAGCGGGUCUGAGAGGAGGAACUGCAACACUGGAACUGAGACACGGUCCAGACUCCUACGGGAGGCAGCAGUGGGGAAUAUUGCACAAUGGGCGCAAGCCUGAUGCAGCAAUGCCGCGUGUAUGAAGAAGGCCUUCGGGUUGUAAAGUACUUUCAGCGGGGAGGCGUUACCCGCAGAAGAAGCACCGGCUAACUCCGUGCCAGCAGCCGCGGUAAUUC
rnacentral:rRNA from 1 species